AUUGAACGCUGGCGGCAUGCCUAACACAUGCAAGUCGAACGGUAACGCGGAGAGCUUGCUCUCUGGCGACGAGUGGCGGACGGGUGAGUAAUACUUAGGAAUCUACCCAGUAGUGGGGGAUAGCUCGGGGAAAACCCGGGAUUAAUACCGCAUACACCCUACGGGGGAAAGCGGGGGAUCGAAAGACCUCGCGCUAUUGGAUGAGCCUAAGUCGGAUUAGCUUGUUGGUAGGGUAAUGGCCUACCAAGGCGACGAUCCGUAGCUGGUCUGAGAGGACGAUCAGCCACACUGGGACUGAGACACGGCCCCAGACUCCUACGGGAGGCAGCAGUGGGGAAUAUUGGACAAUGGGCGAAGCCUGAUCCAGCAAUGCCGCGUGUGUGAAGAAGGCCUGCGGGUUGUAAAGCACUUUUCAGCAGGGAAGAAAAGCCUGGCGCUAAUAUCGUCGGGUCUUGACGUAACCUGCAGAAGAAGCACCGGCUAACUCCGUGCCAGCAGCCGCGGUAAU
rnacentral:rRNA from 1 species